rnacentral:rRNA from 1 species
CCAAUAGCGUAUAUUAAAGUUGUUGCAGUUAAAAAGCUCGUAGUUGAAUUUCGGGAUUGGCGCAUCGGUCGUGCCUCACGGGGUAUGAACUGGUGCAGUCAAUUUCUCACCUUCUGGAGAACCGCGAUGUCCUUAAUUGGAUGCCGCGGGGAACCAGGACCUUUACUUUGAAAAAAUUAGAGUGUUUAAAGCAGGCAUUUUUGCUUGAAUACAUUAGCAUGGAAUAAUAAAAUAGGACGGCAUGGUUCUAUUUUGUUGGUUUCUAGGACCACCGUAAUGAGUAAUAGGGAUAGUUGGGGGCAUUAGUAUUCAAUUGUCAGAGGUGAAAUUCUUGGAUUUAUUGAAGACUAACUACUGCGAAAGCAUUUGCCAAGGAUGUUUUCAUUAAUCAAGAACGAAAGUUAGGGGAUCGAAGACGAUCAGAUACCGUCGUAGUCUUAACCAUAAACUAUGCCGACUAGGAAUCAGACGAUGUUAAUUUUUUAAUGACUCGUUUGGCACCUUACG